rnacentral:rRNA from 2 species
GUCAUAUGCUGUCUCAAAGAUAAGCCAUGCAUGUCUCAGUACAAGCCAAAUUAAGGUGAAACCGCGAAAGGCUCAUUAAAUCAGUUAUGGUUCCUUAGAUCGUACCCACAAUUACUUGGAUAACUGUGGUAAUUCUAGAGCUAAUACAUGCAAACAGAGCUCCGACCGGAGACGGAAGGAGUGCUUUUAUUAGAUCAAAACCAAUCGGUGGCGGGUUCGCGCUCGUUAUCGUACAACUUGGUGACUCUGAAUAACUUUACGCUGAUCGCACGGUCAUCGCACCGGCGACGCAUCUUUCAAAUGUCUGCCUUAUCAACUGUCGAUGGUAGGUUCUGCGCCUACCAUGGUUGUAACGGGUAACGGGGAAUCAGGGUUCGAUUCCGGAGAGGGAGCCUGAGAAACGGCUACCACAUCCAAGGAAGGCAGCAGGCGCGCAAAUUACCCACUCCCGGCACGGGGAGGUAGUGACGAAAAAUAACGAUACGGGACUCAUCCGAGGCCCCGUAAUCGGAAUGAGUACACUCUAAACCCUUUAACGAGGAUCAAUUGGAGGGCAAGUCUGGUGCCAGCAGCCGCGGUAAUUCCAGCUCCAAUAGCGUAUAUUAAAGUUGUUGCGGUUAAAAAGCUCGUAGUCGAAUUUGUGUCUCGCGCCGCCGGUUCAUCGUCCGCGGUGUUAACUGGCGAGUCGCGAGACGUCCUGCCGGUGGGCUUAGCUCGCGAGGGCGGCCCAACUCAAUCCUGCCGCGGUGCUCUUCAUUGAGUGUCGAGGUGGGCCGGCACGUUUACUUUGAACAAAUUAGAGUGCUUAAAGCAGGCUAAAACUUCGCCUGAAUACUGUGUGCAUGGAAUAAUGGAAUAGGACCUCGGUUCUAUUUUGUUGGUUUUCGGAACCCCGAGGUAAUGAUUAAUAGGAACGGAUGGGGGCAUUCGUAUUGCGACGUUAGAGGUGAAAUUCUUGGAUCGUCGC